AAACGCUAUAGAGCGAACGAGAAGGCGCUAGGAGCAAAGGAAAGUGGUUUUUCUAACAAACUCAUAUAAUCAGUUGUCCGACUUACUCCAAUUUGAUUCUUUUCACAUAUUUAGACAUAAUAUAGUACUAUGAAAUGUUUCUGACCAAAAUAUUACGAAAUAUGAUUGUUUACAUUAAAAUGCAAAAGUUGAUGAAAAAGUAUGAUAAGGUGAAAAAAGUGACAUUUUAUGUCUAGAAAGUCAGUUUUCAUCAAAAGUGCAAUAACAAAACUAAUUCCCAUUCAUCCUGUGUCCCCAUGCACACUUGUGCUCUUUAUCCGCUCAAAACGCUAUAGAGCGAACGAGAAGGCGCUAGGAGCAAAGGAAAGUGAUUUUUCUAACAAACUCAUAUAAUCAAUUGCCCGACCUACUCCAAUAUGAUAUUUUUCACAUAGUUACACAUAAUAUAGUACUAUGAAAUGUUUCUGACCUGAAAUAUUACGAAAUAUGAUUGUUUACAUUAAAAUGUAAAAGUAGCUGAGAAAGUGUGAUAAGGUGAAAAAAGUGACAUUUUAUCUCUAGAAAGUCACUUUCCAUCAAAAGUGCAAUAACAAAAGUAGUUCCAUUCAUCCUGUGUCCCCAUACACACUUGUGCUCUUUAUACGCUGAAAAGACUUUUCUUGAUUACAAACACGUGAGCCUACAGGAAUUGAGACGUUUUUCACACAUACUCUGUCGAUGGGGUAUUUGGCUGGCGUCCAGAGCAAUGCUUGUGCGUGCCCCAAUCUCACACCUGGUGAUACAGACAGUUUUUUCACAACCAGAGAAGCUGACAUGAUGUUUAGUUUAUAGGCUACAGUGUCGCUCCGCAUCAAACAGAAUUCAUCUUUUGCCCUCGUCAUGCGAAUUUUAAU
ensembl:lncRNA